rnacentral:rRNA from 1 species
AUUGAACGCUGGCGGCAUGCCUAACACAUGCAAGUCGAGCGGAGCGGCGGACGGGUAAGUUAUGCCUAGGAAUCCGCCUGGUGGUGGCGUAUACCGUACGGAAACGGGCGACAUUAACACAUGCUAUCAGAUCAGUCUAGGUCGGCUUAGCUAGUUGGUGGGGUAAAGGCCUACCAAGGCGACGAUCCGUAACUGGUCUGAGAGGAUGAUCCGUCACACUGGAACUGAGACACGGUCCAGACUCCUACGGGAGGCAGCAGUGGGGAAUAUUGGACAAUGGGCGAAAGCCUGAACGAGCCAUGCCGCGUGUGUGAAGAAGGUCUUCGGAUUGUAAAGCACUUUAAGUUGGGAAGCGGUACCAAAAGAAUAAGCACCGGCUAACUACGUGCCAGCAGCCGCGGUAAUAC